GUUUUCUGCGUUGCCUGUGGACGUUCAUCUUUCUGAUUUGUUAGCUGAAGAUGAGGAUCUGGAGCAGGAGCUCGGAGUGCCAUUGUUCCAUGGGCAGAUGUGCGGCAGAGAUUUCCUAGGCCACUAAGACGUCAGGGGAGCUGAUAUACACUUCCAAGAACAAGGAGACAUCAAAGGGAGCUGAGAGUCCACAGCGGCAGCAAAACAGAUGCUGCUUCACAUGCCCUUUGCUAAGAGUCCUGGAGUUUGAAGUCUCCACGGCUGAUCUAAAAGCAAGUUCCUGAGGAAGGAGCCGGA
rnacentral:lncRNA from 1 species